UACGGAGGGAGCUAGCGUUGUUCGGAAUUACUGGGCGUAAAGCGCACGUAGGCGGUUAUUUAAGUCAGGGGUGAAAGCCCAGUGCUCAACACUGGAACUGCCCUUGAGACUGGAUAACUUGAAUCCAGGAGAGGUGAGUGGAAUUCCGAGUGUAGAGGUGAAAUUCGUAGAUAUUCGGAAGAACACCAGUGGCGAAGGCGGCUCACUGGACUGGUAUUGACGCUGAGGUGCGAAAGCGUGGGGAGCAAACAGG
rnacentral:rRNA from 1 species